AUAAAUAAAAAUUUUUAUGAUUUAAAAAAUUUAUUUUAAAUUUAUUUUACAUAUAAAUUUUAGUGUAAAAUUUUAAUUAUUUUAAUAAUAAUUAAUUUUAUUAGUAGUAAUUAAUAUUAAAAAUUUAAGAAAUUAAGAUUUAGUAAUAUAUAAAUUAAUAACAAAUUUUGUGCCAGCAGUUGCGGUUAAACAAAAAUUAAAUUAAAUUUUAUUAGUAAUUAAUUAAUAUUUAUUAUUAUUAAAUAAUUAAAACAUUAAAUUAUUAGGUGAAAUUUUAAUUUAAUUAAAAAUUAAUUAUAAAUUAUGAUUUAAUAAAUUUUAUUAUAAACUAGGAUUAGAUACCCUAUUAUUAAAAAUUUAAAUUAUAAUACUAAAAUAGUAGAUAAUUGUUUAUUGAAACUUAAUUAAUUUGGCGGUAUUUUAGUUCAUUUAGAGGAAUCUGUUUAUUAAUUGAUAAUCCACGAAUAAUUUUACUUAAUUAAUAAUUUUGUAUAUCGUUGUUAAAAAAAUAUUUUUGAAUAAUUUUAAUAUUUAAAAAUUUUAAAUAAAAAUUAAAUCAGAUCAAGAUGCAGAUUAUAAUUAAGAAUAUAAUGGAUUACAAUAAAUUUAUUUAUAUGGAUAUUUAAUUGAAAUAUUAAAUUAAAAGUGGAUUUAAAUGUAAUUUUAUUUAAUUUAAUAAAAUGAUUAAAAAUUAAAAUAUGUACAUAUUGCCCGUCGCUUUCAUUUAUAAAUUGAAAUAAGUCGUAACAAAGUAGAGGUACUGGAAAGUGUUUCUAGAAAGAA
rnacentral:ncRNA from 1 species